rnacentral:rRNA from 1 species
CGAACGGGUGAGUAACACGUGAGCAACCUGCCCCGAACUUCGGGAUAACAGUUGGAAACAGCUGCUAAUACCGAAUAUGCACCAGAACGGCAUCGUUACUGGUGGGAAAGAUUUAUCGGUUCGGGAGGGGCUCGCGGCCUAUCAGCUUGUUGGUGAGGUAAUGGCUCACCAAGGCGUCGACGGGUAGCCGGCCUGAGAGGGUGACCGGCCACACUGGGACUGAGACACGGCCCAGACUCCUACGGGAGGCAGCAGUGGGGAAUAUUGCACAAUGGGCGCAAGCCUGAUGCAGCAACGCCGCGUGAGGGACGACGGCCUUCGGGUUGUAAACCUCUUUUAGUAGGGAAGAAGCCUUCGGGUGACGGUACCUGCAGAAAAAGCGCCGGCUAACUACGUGCCAGCAGCCGCGGUAAUACGUAGGGCGCAAGCGUUAUCCGGAAUUAUUGGGCGUAAAGAGCUCGUAGGCGGUUUGUCACGUCUGCUGUGAAAACUGGAGGCUCAACCUCCAGCCUGCAGUGGGUACGGGCAGACUAGAGUGCGGUAGGGGAGAUUGGAAUUCCUGGUGUAGCGGUGGAAUGCGCAGAUAUCAGGAGGAACACCGAUGGCGAAGGCAGAUCUCUGGGCCGUAACUGACGCUGAGGAGCGAAAGAGUGGGGAGCAAACAGGCUUAGAUACCCUGGUAGUCCACUCCGUAAACGUUGGGAACUAGUUGUGGGGGCCCUUUCCACGGUCUCCGUGACGCAGCUAACGCAUUAAGUUUCCCCGCCUGGGGAGUACGGCCGCAGGCUUAAACUCAAGAAUUGACGGGACCGCACAGCGGCGGAGCAUGCGGAAUAUCGAUGCAACGCCGAGACCUUACUAGGC